UACAGAGGUCUCAAGCGUUGUUCGGAUUUACUGGGCGUAAAGGGCGCGUAGGCGGCGUGACAAGUCACUUGUGAAAUCUCCGGGCUUAACCCGGAGCGGCCAAGUGAUACUGUCGUGCUAGAGUGCGGAAGGGGCUACUGGAAUUCUCGGUGUAGCGGUGAAAUGCGUAGAUAUCGAGAGGAACACCUGCGGCGAAGGCGGGUAGCUGGGCCGAUACUGACGCUGAUGCGCGAAAGCCAGGGGAGCAAACGGG
rnacentral:rRNA from 1 species